CUCCUUCUCCUUCUCCGUCUCUGCAGUCUCUGUCUCUCUCUAAGUAAGGGCGAAUCGUCCUCUGUUUGCGCAGGUCAGGACGCCGCCAUCAAAGCGGCCUUCGACGGCGACCUCUGGUGCCUCAGAGGUACUGUAAAGAGUCUCGACGACCCAAGGGUGAUCUUCUCUUUCGACAUGGGUGGUGGCAUUGGUGUGCUGCACAUCGCAGCCGUCGGAGGGCAUCUUGAGGUUUGCAAAUACUUGGUGGAGGAACUCGGGGGAGAUGUGAAUGCUCCUGCUCCUGGAGUAGGAGACUUUGCAAGUGUGACACCCUUUAUGUCAUCUGCUCAGUCUGGCGAUGUUUCCACUGUGAAGUAUUUGCUUGAUCAUGGCGGUGAUCUAACAAAGUCAGAUGCUA